GACGAACGCUGGCGGCGUGCUUAACACAUGCAAGUCGAACGGAAAGGCCCUGCUUUUGUGGGGUGCUCGAGUGGCGAACGGGUGAGUAACACGUGAGUAACCUGCCCUGGACUUUGGGAUAACUUCAGGAAACUGGGGCUAAUACCGGAUAGGAGCUCCUGCUGCAUGGUGGGGGUUGGAAAGUUUCGGCGGUUGGGGAUGGACUCGCGGCUUAUCAGCUUGUUGGUGGGGUAGUGGCUUACCAAGGCUUUGACGGGUAGCCGGCCUGAGGGGGUGACCGGCCACAUUGGGACUGGGCUACGGCCCAGACUCCUACGGGAGGCAGCAGUGGGGAAUAUUGCACAAUGGGCGGAAGCCUGAUGCAGCAACGCCGCGUGCGGGAUGACGGCCUUCGGGUUGUAAACCGCUUUCGCAUGUGACGAAGCGUGAGUGACGGUAAUGGGUAAAGAAGCACCGGCUAACUACGU
rnacentral:rRNA from 1 species